rnacentral:rRNA from 1 species
UACGUAGGGGGUUAGCGUUGUCCGGAUUUAUUGGGCGUAAAGAGCGUGUAGGCGGCCAGGUAGGUCUGCUGUGAAAACUCGAGGCUCAACCUCGAGACGUCGGCGGAAACCAUCUGGCUAGAGUCCGGAAGAGGAGAGUGGAAUUCCUGGUGUAGCGGUGAAAUGCGCAGAUAUCAGGAAGAACACCAAUGGCGAAAGCAGCUCUCUGGGACGGUACUGACGCUGAGACGCGAAAGCGUGGGGAGCGAACAGG